ensembl:lncRNA
GGGAGAUGGGCGCCUUCCACUGGCCUUUAACGAGAAGGGCAAGGGCCCUGUACACAAAGCCUUCUUCGCUAAUUUCAUUUGUGCACAAAGCAAAGCCCUUCUCCUUUUCCUCCCCCUAGGGUUGGGACUGAAUUUACUCUGGGUCUUGAAGUGUGGAAAAAGUAAACACUGCUCUAUUUGGAUUCCACUCACUGGUUUCUCCUGAGCCCAACAGAGCAGAGCCUGAGAGCAACCCCACGAGAAAACCACGAUCCCGGGUAACGCCAGGAGUUCCAGACAGUGCGAGCAGAGCAGCAAAGCAAGGCAAAAACCCCUGAGGUGGGAAAGAAAUGAGAAGGAGAAACACUGGGCUUAUUCUUAAUCGCUUUGCAUUUCCACAGAAAGGUCGGGAUGUCUUGAAGAUGUUCAGAUGUCGGCCGGCCGUCGGCAUGGCUCAUUAAACAUCUCAGCAGGAACGUUCUGUUCCAGGCAGUCCCAGCCGUGGUCUCCGGGUUCUCAUUUUGGCAUUUCCGCAGGUAAAUGUCGUCUUUUCUCAGUGUACUUAUAGCUCCUUAGACCAUCAAAGCAAUGGCAGUAAUCCUCCAAACAGCAGAGAAGCUGUGGUGACCAAGGCUACGUGCAAAAUGUUUCCAUGCAAGAGUGAGAAUGCAGAGGAUGUGUGGAGACCCAGCACCAACUGCUGCUCUCAACUCACUCGCCUGGACUUCCGUCAUUUCUUCAAAAUCUUGCCUGCACUAUUUUUUCUUCUAUGAGGCCUUUCCUGAAUAAAUUUCCCACGUGCUAAUAUAGGAAGAACUUGAUACUGAAGGCUAGGAGGUGGCAAGGGACAGGCUUUGGAAAAAGGCAGGUCUAGGUGUGAGUUGUAGCUUGACUGCUUACGUCAUCCAAAAUGAAGGUCAGCUUCAUCACUGGCAUCACGAAUCUACUCACACUGUGGGACCUCUGCUGGUCUUUACAACCAAACGCCCGCCUCCACUUCUUGCUAAGAUAGUCAGCUUUGUUCAGCUCUGGAGCCCGUGACCUGUGGUCCCACAGAACAUGGUCCAGGCCCUGGUCAGUGCGGCUCUGUGACCCAUUCCAGCCCAGGAGAUACAAGAAGAGGUCCGACAGUGCCUUCCGGGACGGAUUAUCACUUUAAAGUGGUUAUGUAAGGACAGGAGACUUUACCCCUGGGGGUGGACAAGGCAGGGCACUCAGCUCUGAGUUACCAUGGACUCGCUGAUCUAAGGCCACAGCCACCUCCCUCAGCCCCAGCCUCGAGACUUCUUCUUGUUCUUUGAGGGAAGCUAAGCAGCCUUGGCUGCCUGGAGCAUCCUUGGCUGUUGUAACCACCCAUCCCACGCAGAGCUGCUGACACUUCUGGGCGGCCAGCUGGUCCAUGCACACUUCUGGCGUUCACUUCUGGCUCAGCUUCUCUGGAUGUCUCUCUGCACCCUAUUCCCACCCGUGGGCUGGUGCAGAAUGAGUGAGUCAGGGCUAGGGUGAGAGGUGGUCAAGGAUCAAAGACCACACUUGGACAGGUGCUUUCCGGUGGAGCUAAUGCAGCCAAGCCCUGCCUGGAGGGAGCAGGGAGAUGAGGCGAGGGACAGACAACGAGACUGAGCUAAGAGGGGCUGAGAGCCAUGCAGGUGGGAGCAGAGAGAGCGGGAGGCUUGGGAAGACUCCGGAAGGGCAAAGUCCCUGGGUGAGAGAGAAGGCCACCACCCAGACCUGAAGCCCCUCAGUGUGCCCAAACCCGGGCUCUUCUGCUUUGCCUCGACUAGAGUACACGCCUGUCUGCUGCCAGUGUGGAGGAGGGAAGCCUUUGGGGCUGAACUGUAUCCCCUGGCACCUUGGAGAACCUACAGCACGAGUGCCGUAGCGGGCUGUUUCUAUCACUGAAAGCUCUGAGAGGUUCGCCAUUUCGCCAUCACUGCCCUGGGCUAUUUAUGGAGACAGAGCCCUGAAAGAUGCAACUGAGGUAAACGGAGGUCAUCAGACGGCCCCCAGGCCUGGUGUGCUUAGGAGACCAGUGGGAAGGCCCCGGGAAGACGCAGGAAAAUGCUCACCCAGCAGUCAAGGAGAGGCCACGAAGAACCCGACCUUGCUGGCACCUUGGUUCUUGACUUCUCUCACCCAGACUGAGAGAAGAUUCCUCUCUGCUAUUCCAAGCACGCGAUUGGUGGCCGUCUGCUAUGGCAGCCCCAGAGAGAGGUCAGCAGAAGGGAGCUCAACCCUGCCAGAUGGAGCUGGGACCCUGGGGCCAAUCACUUUUUGUGUUUUAUUUAUUUAUUAUUUUUUGAGGUCCAGGAACUGCUGAGCUACAUCUUCAGCCCUUUUUUAAAAUUUUAGUUUGAGUCAGGGUCUCACUAAGCUGCCCAGGCUGGGCUCAAACCUGUGACCCUACUGCCUCAGCUUCCAGAGUAGCUGGGAUGACAGGUGUGUGCCACUUCACCUAGAACUUAAUAGCUUUCAUGCUGUUUUGAUUUUUGGUGCUGGGGAUUAAAGCUGGGACCUCAUGCGCACUAAGCAUGUGCUCUGCCUCAGCCUAAGGAGCAGCUUUGAACCAAGCUCUUGAACCAAUCAGCAGGGUACCAGCCACAGUCACUUUCUAAUCUCCAAAUAUUGUCAUCUUUAAUCCUCUCAUCUCCUCUUACUCCUCUAUCAGUGAGGAUUCAGGAAGGAGCAGAGGAAAAGACAUGCAUUUCCUGGCAUUGUAAAAUUAUUACUGUUGCUAUCAUUACUAGUAGUGGUUACUUUCAGCACGGGGGCUUGAAGCCAGGGCCUUGUGGAUGUUAGGCACGCACUCUGCCUCUGAGCCACACUCCAGCUCAGGAUGAUGCAUUUGGCAGCUCCGCAGCACAAAACAGUCACCACUCUGAAAGAAAUAUGCAAUCUUUAGCAGCAGCUGGCUGAAUAAGCACCCCCAGACUGCAAGGGAACAGCCAUUUAAUGCUCAGCUGGUUAAGCUGUGAAUCCUGAUAUUAAUUUCAAAUUCAGAUUCAUUUUCUUCUUCCCAAGUUUCCUUCUUUUUGUUUUGUUUUGUUUUGUUUUGCUUUUUGGUACCGGAGAUCGAACUCGGGACCUUUCGCUUUCGAGGCAGGCGCCGGAACCACUGAGCUAAAUCCCCAGCCCCCCCAAGUUUCCUUCUUAAGGAUCAUAGCUGACCCAAUAAGUUAAUGUUUUUAUGGUGCAGAACAGCGAGGAGACAGUAGUCCAGUGGAUUCCACACUGUGCCUGCAGCAGGGCCCUCUAUACUGAGUACUGGCACCAGGUAGAGGGUACCAGGACAGCAAGCCACAGGUGGACAUGUUCAAUUACUUCUGCAGCCCUUGAAAACCCAAUUCUUCGGCCCAGAUGCCCCAGAAUGGCAUCCUCACCGCCUCUCACUCUGAAGGAUCCACCAUGACACAGCGAGAGCUUGGCAUCAAAGACCAACCUUUCUACCUCGCAACAGCGAGAUUAGCCACCUUGAUGGAUGUUAAAGACCAUUACUUAAGUGAUCCUGAAAUUAACAACACUAUUUGUCCUCCUUAGGAAUUGAAGUAAAACUUUAAUCUCAUAAAAUAAUUUAGUCUACAAACAAUACAAUCUUGGGACUGGCUUUUCUAUGAACAUGUUUUGUUGCUGCCUGCUAACAUGGUACCGCAUUCAGAAACUCCUCAGACCAGGAGAGACAGUGUGAGAGGCUGCAGGCCCACUCUGGAGGCAUCACGUACUCCAAUUAGGGGCAGUGGUCAACCAUGAAUAAAUCGUGCUCUGUGUGGCAGAAACUUUCGUGUUUAUUCACAACUCAUCACCAAAGGAACCCAAACAACUGGGGCUCUGAAGGAAGGAAUAUAAAGGGGAAACCCAUGGACAGAGGAGGAAAGAAGACACCAGCACCAGACCUCGUUCAUCACAGGCUGGGCAAGGUGGACAGUGAUGAGGACAUUGGUUUAAAACAACAGCUGAAGCUGCCCUCUGCCUCUGCCAGAGGUCAGUGAGGGAAAAGAUGAGCGACCGUCCAGAAUCCAGAGUGAUCAGUGCCUUGGAGAAGCUGGAGAUUAGCACGAGGGAUGCCCAUGAGGGGCCCAGGAUCCAGGAAGGGUAAGGGACAGGUGAGGGCUAUGGGAUGGGGCUGGGUCAUCACAGCAGUGGAAGGAGAUGAGUCCACUGGCGUUGCAGUAGGGCCAUCUGCCCUCCUUCCCUCUCUGCCCACAGGAGGCAGAAGGCCAGGGCGGUGGCCCACCAGGGGCUGGCUGUGUGGUGAUCCUCUGAGAAACUCAAGAGCCCAAGACAAGACAGCUGCUUCCUGACACUUGGGGGUUGCCAUGAGCCACCCGCUCACCCAGCCUGGUUUCCCAAGAGCUCCUGUGAGCGCCUCCUGACUUCUGUUUUGUUUGUUUUUUUGGUACUAGGGAUCGAACUGGGGACCUUGCGCUUGCGAGGCAGGCAAAGGAACCACUGAGCUAAAUCUCCGGCCCACUCCUGACUUCUGAAUGGGAGGUGAGAGGUUGGCAGAUGGCUGACGACAGCUCCAACAUGAUGGCACUGAAAUGAACACCGGGGGGAAAGGGAGACAGAGGGAGCCAGGACAGAGCAGGGGACAGGAUGACCGCUUAGGAAAGUAAGAGCAUCAGAGGACUGCAGAAAGCAUUGCGACUGUUACAUAAUCCCAGGAUUGUACUUCAAAUAGAACAGAAAACAUGAAAAGAGGCCUUAAAAUAAGUGAGAUAACUUGAGUAGCAAAUACAGAAAUAUUCUCCAAGACAGAAC